AUUGAACGCUGGCGGCAGGCCUAACACAUGCAAGUCGAACGAGUGGCGGACGGGUGAGUAAUGUCUGGGAACAUGCCUGAUGGAGGGGGAUAACUACUGGAAACGGUAGCUAAUACCGCAUACCCUCAGAUGUGCCCAGAUGGGAUUGGCUUGUUGGUGGGGUAACGGCUCACAAAGGCGACGAUCCCUAGCUGGUCUGAGAGGAUGACCAGCCACACGGGAACUGAGCCACGGUCCAGACUCCUACGGGAGGCAGCAGUGGGGAAUAUUGCACAAUGGGCGAAAGCCUGAUGCAGCCAUGCCGCGUGUAUGAAGAAGGCCUUCGGGUUGUAAAGUACUUUCAGCGGGGAGGCGUUACCCGCAGAAGAAGCACCGGCUAACUCCGUGCCAGCAGCCGCGGUAAUUC
rnacentral:rRNA from 1 species